GGAUGUUUUUCAUGUGACUGAUCAGAAUGGGAAAAAGCUCUGUGAUGAUGGUGUGGGUGAGAGAAUCCAGCAGUCACUGGGGCCGAGGGCACGCAGUUUCAGAUCAUUAAGGAGGUCGGUAGGUGUCCAAGCUGCUGCGGAACAUACGACGAUUGAAUUGUCUGGAAGAGACAGGCCAGGCUUGCUUUCUGAGGUUUUUGCUGUUCUUACAGAUCUCAAAUGUAAUGUUGUAGCUGCAGAGGUAUGGACCCACAAUUCAAGAAUGGCUUCAGUUGUUUAUAUCACCGAUGACACGAGUGGAAUGCCGAUUGAUGACCCCGAUCGGCUGUCUAAGAUUAAACAGCUUCUCCUCUAUGUUCUUAAAGGAGACAGAGAUAAACAUAGUGCCAAUACUGCUGUUUCAAUGAACUCUACUCAUAAAGAGCGGAGGCUGCAUCAAAUGAUGUAUGCAGACCGUGAUUUCGACUUGAAUUACUUGAGUUGCAGCGAAAGCUAUCAGAGCAGGCCACUUGUGACAGUAGAGAACUGUGUCGAGAAGGGAUAUACCAUUGUCAACCUGAGAUGCCCCGACCGACCUAAGCUACUUUUCGAUACGGUUUGCACCCUGACCGAUAUGCAAUAUGUGGUGUACCACGCAACCAUCAUUGCUGAAGAGCCUGAGGCUUAUCAGGAGUACUUUAUCAGGCAUGUAGAUGGAAGUCCUAUUAGUUCGGAAGCAGAGAGACAGAGGGUAAUCCAUUGCUUAGAGGCUGCAAUUAGGCGACGGACGACUGAGGGUAUAAUACUCGAGCUUUGUAGUGAAGACCGAGUAGGGCUUUUAACGGAUGUGACAAGAAUAUUUAGAGAGAAUGGUCUUUCUGUCACUCGGGCGGAGGUUACCACCAGAGGAACUCAGGCUGUGAAUGUUUUCUAUGUG
rnacentral:misc_RNA from 1 species